GUGGUCAGAGGUUGGUGAGUAGUUAGUAGUGGUCAGUGGUUGCUGGUUGGUGAGUAGUUAGUAGUGGUCAGUGGUUGGUGAGUAGUUAGUAGGGGUCAGUGAUUGGUGAGUAUUUAGUAGGGGUCAGUGGUUGGUGAGUAUUUAGUAGUGGUCAGAGGUUGGUGAGUAGUUAGAAGUGGUCAGUUGUCAGUGGUGGUGAGUAGUUAGAAGUGGUCAGAGGUUGGUGAGUAGUUAGUAGUGUUCAGUGGUUGGUGAGUAGUUAGUAGUGGUCAGUGGGCGUGGUUGGUGAGUAGUUAGUAGUGGUCAGAGGUUGGUGAGUAGUUAGUAGGGGUCAGUGGUUGGUGAGUAGUUAGUAGUGGUCAGUGGUUGGUGAGUAGUUAGUAGUGGUCAGAGGUUGGUGAGUAGUUAGUAGUGGUCAGUGGUUGGUGAGUAGUUAGUAGUGGCCAGUGGUUGGUGAGUAGUUAGUAGGGGUCAGUGGUUGCUGGUUGGUGAGUAGUUAGUAGUGGUCAGUGGUUGCUGGUUGGUGAGUAGUUAGUAGUGGUCAGUGGUUGCUGGUUG
ensembl:lncRNA